rnacentral:tRNA from 1 species
UUAAUUAAAUCUAAAAUAUCAUUGUUAAUGAUAAAAAGUAAACACUUACUAAUUAAU